AACGAACGCUGGCGGCAGGCCUAACACAUGCAAGUCGAACGGGACCUUCGGGUCUAGUGGCGGACGGGUGAGUAACGCGUGGGAACGUGCCCUUUGGUUCGGAAUAGCCUCGGGAAACUGGGAGUAAUACCGGAUACGGUCGAGAGACGAAAGAUUUAUCGCCGAAGGAUCGGCCCGCGUUGGAUUAGGUAGUUGGUGGGGUAAAGGCCUACCAAGCCGACGAUCCAUAGCUGGUCUGAGAGGAUGAUCAGCCACAUUGGGACUGAGACACGGCCCAAACUCCUACGGGAGGCAGCAGUGGGGAAUAUUGGACAAUGGGCGCAAGCCUGAUCCAGCCAUGCCGCGUGAGUGAUGAAGGCCCUAGGGUUGUAAAGGCUCUUUCACCGGUGAAGAUAAUGACGGUAACCGGAGAAGAAGCCCCGGCUAACUUCGUGCCAGCAGCCGCGGUAAAGUGACUACUG
rnacentral:rRNA from 1 species